AUACAGAGGGUGCAAGCGUUAAUCGGAAUUACUGGGCGUAAAGCGCGCGUAGGUGGUUCAGUAAGAUGGAAGUGAAAUCCCCGGGCUUAACCUGGGAACUGCUUUCAUAACUGCUGAGCUAGAGUACGGUAGAGGGUAGUGGAAUUUCCUGUGUAGCGGUGAAAUGCGUAGAUAUAGGAAGGAACACCAGUGGCGAAGGCGACUACCUGGACUGAUGCUGACACUGAGAUGCGAAAGCGUGGGGAGCAAACAGGAUUAGAGACCCUGGUAGUCCACGCCGUAAACGAUGUCAACUAGUCGUUGGGAACCUUGAGUUCUUAGUGGCGCAGCUAACGCACUAAGUUGACCGCCUGGGGAGUACGGUCGCAAGAUUAAAACUCAAAUGAAUUGGCGGGG
rnacentral:rRNA from 1 species